GGCACUCAAACAACAACCAGUAGUAGUGACUCCUGCAAGUGAUCCAGAACUUAAACUUUAAAUCUAAUGUUACUCUAUCUUAAGCUGCCGAUUCAUUAUAACCACAAUAUACAAAUUGUUAUCACAAUACAACAGCAACAUAAAUCGUUACAUAUUAACAUUGCAAUCAAUUCGGCAUAUGCAACGCAUAAUCAAAGCAACGCAGGGUCGAAUCUCACCGAAUCGGAACUAAAUCAAACCAACAAAUCUCAUAAAUUCGACAGCACAAUGAAAUUGAAGCAAAACAUAAUCCAACUCGAAAUCAUAGAUGGCAAAUGAAAUUAAAGAGAAAAAAUUAAGCAGCAAGUCAUCCUUUUCUUACAGAACUCAUUGACAGCACAAUCAGCCAUAUUAAUAACAACACAAUUCAGCUCAGAUUUGAACAAUGAAUUCGGCGGUCCUAAAUAUAAAAUCAUGAACCAUUGACUGAUAGCUUAACCACACAAUUUCCUGUUUUUUCUACUUAAACUGUACAGAAACUAAUUAACCCAAAAGUUGGAAUAAGCCUGUCAAAAAAACUUCAAACUACGAAUCAUAACAACAGCCAGCAAUUACUACACACAAUACAUCAUUGGUUUAACUAAAAAAAAAUACAGAAUGCUGUAAACAGGCAAAACUUUUGAUGAGUUCAGAUUAUUACCAACAUAAAUGACGAUAACCAACCGCUGCUUUUGAGGUAUGACGGAAUUUGAACCGAAAAUGGGUCGGUUUGAAAGCAGGACCAAAAGAGUACCCCUCGUUUACAUCCGAACAGCAGAUUUUGUUGUUUUUCUGUCAGCGGCUUGCUCGAACUUCCUGCUAAUCUUUUAAAUCGACUUCGGCAUCCAAAAGCUUCCUUAGUCAGAUUUACCGCUACCGAUACCGAUUUCAAAACCCCACUUCAGUAGUCUUGACUCCAAAUUGUGACGGCGAGGGUUUUGUGGAUUGCGGAGGGAGAGAACAAUGGUGGAGAUAAUGACGAUGAGGGUUUCGGAUGGUGGUGGCCGGAAUCGAGUGAGGUUUGAGGGACGGUGAGGCGAGUUUUGAAGAUGAAAUGAACGACGGCUGUAGGGUUUCGCGAUUGUUCGUCGGAAAGGAGAAGAGGAGUUGUUGUGAGAUUGAAGGGUGGCCGUGGCUUCGUGGAGAAUAUGAAGAGCGAUGGUUGAGAGAAUAUGGCGUUUCCGGCGGUGAUUUUCAGUGAGGGUUUCGGGGAUGAGAGGGAUUUGAGAGUUAGACUGAAGAGGAAAGGAUUUUAGCGUGAGAUGUGAAGGUGAGCGAGAUGAUGAAGGGCGAUUGAGGGUUUUUGGAGAGUGAAGAGAUUUUUUGUGAUUGUCUGAGAGAUUGUCAGUGAGGAGUGAAUGGUGAGAGAGGUUAUAUGAUAGCUGUUAUUAAUAAUGAGAGAGUGAUGUGAAGAGAAUGAGGGUAACGUGUGAGUGUGGAGAGAGAGAUGAUGGAGAGUGAUUUUGGGAGUGGGCUCUAGGUAGCAGGGAAAGAGAGUCUAUGUAUGUGAGUGGAGAGAAAACGUGUGAUGAGGGAAGAAAAAGAUAUAUUUUUGAUAUCCUUUUGUGGGUUGUCAAAGAAUCCAAUGCUAAAACUU
rnacentral:lncRNA from 1 species